GAUGAACGCUGGCGGCGUGCCUAACACAUGCAAGUCGAGCGAUCUUCUUCGGAAGAGAGCGGCGGACGGGUGAGUAACGCGUGGGUAACCUGCCCUGUACACACGGAUAACAUACCGAAAGGUAUGCUAAUACGAGAUGAUAUGCUUUUAUCGCAUGGUAGAAGUAUCAAAGCUCCGGCGGUACAGGAUGGACCCGCGUCUGAUUAGCUAGUUGGUAAGGUAACGGCUUAGCAAGGCGACGAUCAGUAGCCGACCUGAGAGGGUGAUCGGCCACAUUGGAACUGAGACACGGUCCAAAGUGCUACGGGAGGCAGCAGUGGGGAAUAUUGCACGAUGGGCGAAAGCCUGAUGCAGCAACGCCGCGUGAGCGAUGAAGGCCUUCGGGUCGUAAAGCUCUGUCCUCAAGGAAGAUAAUGACGGUACUUGAGGAGGAAGCCCCGGCUAACUACGUGCCAGCCGCCGCAGUAA
rnacentral:rRNA from 1 species